CACACACACACACACACACACACUGAGUUAUUAACAUAUUGACAAGCAACAUGACAGGAGUGUGCGUAUUAGCAGGAAGGACCCUCAUGUGGUAAUAGGAGGGGGGACAGGGGGACUAGAGAGGGACAAAAGGAAUGCAUAACAUGGGAACAAAGCCAAGAAAUAAAAGUUCAUGGGUGCGUAGAAUUCACUAUGAAUCCCCAAGGAAGCCCAGUCUAUAAAUGCAGACAAUGGAUUUGUGUCUUAUUCUAGACAGAGCUGUUCUCAGUUUGCCUUCAGCCACCAGAUACAAGGUACUGAUUUCAUUUUCCCAAUCGUGUAUUAUUAUUGAUAUGAAUUAUUAUGUCAAAAAUUGUGAAAUAUCCCAAUGAACUGUGAAGAAUAGAAUUGUGAACUUGAGCCACAGUUCAAUAACAGGCCCACGAUAAUGUAAUGAAAUAAAUGCAUGCGAUAUAGGGAAAACCUAUGUCAUUCUGAACCUUUGUCACCCUACAGUCAAUACACUGGGUAGAGAUAGUAUGCCACCUACUGACCAGUUGUUGCCAUUGUUGAAGGAAUUGAAUUGCAGCGUGAUUAAUAAUGUCAUAUCAUGAAUGUUAUCAUUUAGCCUCACAUAACAAAAUAUAUAUAUUAUUGCUUCCUGUACCCCCCAAAAACAAAUAGCAUGGGAAUAAAUACAUUUCUGAAACCUGUGCAAUCUGAGGAUGAACAAGAGAACAGCUUUCUUUAAUUGUUAUGAUUCAAAAUGAAAACAGGGGUUUCCUGGUUGCAGGUCAGGUUUGGUUUGUCCUUCACAGGGUGAUAGACAUGGAGGUGUGUCUGAAUUACUAUACUUCAUUUAUCUUACCUAAAAGAUUGCUCAAAUAUUUUGAAGAUGUAAUGAUAUUUAGAAUUGUACUGCAUAUUCUUACAGGACAUUGAUGAUUGCUCUCCAUAUGGAAUCAGGAGGGGCAUUGAUGUCUGUCAACUUUACCUUGCAAAAUAGUAGUCUUAUCAUAACUUCUAGCUAUAACUUGAGAAUGUCAAAUGAGGCCCUAUUCAUUGCAAGGCUGUGGCUGUGAUGACACCUGUCAAUUAUAAUUUGUUGGAAAAUAUCAAUCAUGUCAGUAUAUGCCAGUAAUAUGUCACAUAAAAUGCUUUUUUGCAAAUUAACUAAAUCAUAUUAUACUUGUCAAUAUUCCAGACUUGUCAAGGUUCUCCAUGCUAAUAUACUUAUGGCUGAAUAACAACAAGAUACUGUAGCCAACAUCACAAACAGAUACUGAUACUGUAUACAGUUAUAUUAAAUGUGGGAAUGUGUGACACUCAAACACUAGGCAUAUCAUGUCAGAAUAGCCAAGAAAGGAAAAAUAUAAUUUCCCCAUAUCCACUUCAUAAUGCUCUGUAAAUGUUUCAAAUUAACAAACUCUUCUACCAUUCCCUCAACUGUUGCAUGACAGAACUUUAUCUCCAAAACAAUAAAAUAUCUAUUUCAGGUAAAUAUGACAAUCUAUAUUUUCCUAAGCAUAUGCUAUAACAUUGCAUGUUCUCUGUGUGAGUUUGUCUUGUUGUGGAUCUGUUUUCCAUCCCCAAGAGCAACAUACCUAUCCUGUCUUUAUAGCCUGUUCCCAGAUCUGUUUGUGCUCUUGCGAAGUCCAUUGCUGUCAUUGUCAAGCCAAGUUAAGGCAUGACAAUUUCACAGAGUUGUUAAGAGAGCAGAAACAGGCUAGCACUCAGGCUACUGUCUUUACUGUAUGUUUUCCAUCCUUUGGCACCCUGGGACACCUAACCUGUCAUUGGGUUCUUCUUCUGCACAAACACCAGAUGAAGAGGCUGGAGGACUGAGUGGCUGAAGCUGAGGAACUUGCAGCAUCUCCACACUGUCAGUCACUAUGGCUCAAGACAACAUUUAAAGAGCCCAUUGGAUGAGACAGCAGAUCCCAGUGUGCGCAGGGCCAUGCAGAGAUCCAUCAUGCAGUUCUCCACUGUGGACUAGAAGACCAUUUCCACCGCCAAACAGAGAAAGCUAGGGGAAUGGAACCAGCCAGGGUCCAACAUCCUCACUGUCAUGUUCAGCUAACUGCUCCAGCAACACGAGGGGUGAAUCUCAAUUGUAUUUAACAGAUUCUUCAUGUCCUCUCCUCUAAUGCAUUUUGAGAAGAAGCCAAGGAGAGAAUAUCCCAGGGGAGGAACCUCAGUUAUCCGCUCCACUAUGCUUUGAGAAGAGGAGGAGGACGUGAGGAAAUACAAUUGAUAUUCUCACCUGAAGGUCAUACCACUGUGGUGUGAUGCUGUAUAAGCCUGUAGAGGGAGCUCUAGCUGAAUUAAACCUGUCA